UACGUAGGGGGCUAGCGUUGUCCGGAAUCAUUGGGCGUAAAGCGCGUGUAGGCGGUCCGGUAAGUCCGCUGUGAAAGUCGGGGGCUCAACCCUCGGAUGCCGGUGGAUACUGUCGGGCUUGAGUACGGAAGAGGCGAGUGGAAUUCCUGGUGUAGCGGUGAAAUGCGCAGAUAUCAGGAGGAACACCGAUUGCGAAGGCAGCUCGCUGGAACGUUACUGACGCUGAGACGCGAAAGCGUGGGGAGCAAACAGG
rnacentral:rRNA from 1 species